GUGUACCCGCGGCAAGACGGAAAGACCCCGUGAACCUUUACUAUAGCUUGACACUGAACAUUGAGCCUUGAUGUGUAGGAUAGGUGGGAGGCUUUGAAGCGUGGACGCCAGUCUGCGUGGAGCCAACCUUGAAAUACCACCCUUUAAUGUUUGAUGUUCUAACGUUGGCCCCUUACCGGGGUUGCGGACAGUGUCUGGUGGGUAGUUUGACUGGGGCGGUCUCCUCCCAAAGCGUAACGGAGGAGCACGAAGGUUAGCUAAUCCUGGUCGGACAUCAGGAGGUUAGUGCAAUGGCAUAAGCU
rnacentral:rRNA from 1 species